rnacentral:tRNA from 1 species
GGGUCGGAGCUCAGUGGUAGAGCAUGUGCUUAGCAUGUGACAGGCCCUGGGUUCGAUCCCCAGUACCCA